rnacentral:rRNA from 1 species
GAUGAACGCUAGCUAUAGGCUUAACACAUGCAAGUCGAGGGGAAACGGCAUUAUGUGCUUGCACAUUUUGGACGUCGACCGGCGCACGGGUGAGUAUCGCGUAUCCAACCUGCCCUUUACUUGGGGAUACCCCGUUGAAAGACGGCCUAAUACCCGAUGUAAUUCAUUGAUGGCAUCAGAUAUGAAUAAAAGAUUUAUCGGUAAAGGAUGGGGAUGCGUCUGAUUAGCUUGUUGGUGAGGUAAAGGCUCACCAAGGCAACGAUCAGUAGGGGUUCUGAGAGGAAGGUCCCCCACAUUGGAACUGAGACACGGUCCAAACUCCUACGGGAGGCAGCAGUGAGGAAUAUUGGUCAAUGGGCGCAAGCCUGAACCAGCCAAGUAGCGUGCAGGAAGACGGCCCUAUGGGUUGUAAACUGCUUUUAUACGAGAAUAAUUUGAUGCACGUGUGCGUUAUUGCAUGUAUCGUAUGAAUAAGGACCGGCUAAUUCCGUGCCAGCAGCCGCGGUAAUACGGAAGGUCCAGGCGUUAUCCGGAUUUAUUGGGUUUAAAGGGAGUGUAGGCGGUUUGUUAAGCGUGUUGUGAAAUUUAGGUGCUCAACAUUUAACUUGCAGCGCGAACUGUCAGACUUGAGUACACGCAACGUAUGCGGAAUUCAUGGUGUAGCGGUGAAAUGCUUAGAUAUCAUGAAGAACUCUGAUUGCGAAGGCAGCAUACGGGAGUGUAACUGACGCUUUAAGCUCGAAGGUGCGGGUAUCGAACAGG